AUUCCAUGAUAAGGGCAUUUCUGUAAUAAUUCUUUGUACCUUUCCCAUGCCUCAUACAAGGACUCAUCAUCCAUUUUUUUGAAAGAAGUCAUCUCGUUCCUCAACUU
rnacentral:snoRNA from 1 species